GAUUCUGGCUCAGGAUGAACGCUGGCGGCGUGCCUAACACAUGCAAGUCGAACGGAGCUUAUCAGGACAGCGGCUCGGCCAAAGAAAGACAAGCUUAGUGGCGGACGGGUGAGUAACGCGUGGGGAACCUGCCCUGUACCGGGGGAUAACAGAGGGAAGCUUCUGCUAAUACCGCAUAAGCGCACAGUGCCGCAUGGCACAGUGUAGAAAAACUCCGGUGGUACAGGAUGGCUCCGCGUUGGAUUAGCCAGUUGGCGGGGUAACGGCCCAACCAAAGCGACGAUCCAUAGCCGGCCUGAGAGGGUGGACGGCCACAGUUGGGACUGAGACACCGGCCCAGACUCCGUACGGGAGGCAGCAGGUGGGGAAUAUUGCACAAUGGGGGGAACCCUGAUGCAAGCGACGCCGCGUGAAGGAAGAAGUAUCUCGGUAUGUAAACUUCUAUCAGCAGGGAAGAUAAUGACGGUACCUGACUAAGAAGCCCCGGCUAACUACGUGCCAGCAGCCGC
rnacentral:rRNA from 1 species